rnacentral:rRNA from 1 species
GAUGAACGCUGGCGGCGUGCUUAACACAUGCAAGUCGAACGGAAAGGCCCAAGCUUGCUUGGGUACUCGAGUGGCGAACGGGUGAGUAACACGUGGGUGAUCUGCCCUGCACCUCGGGAUAAGCCUGGGAAACUGGGUCUAAUACCGGGUAGGCCGAUGGUUGGGAUGCCAUUGUGGAAAGUUUUUUCGGUGUGGGAUGAGCUCGCGGCCUAUCGGCUUGUUGGUGGGGUAAUGGCCUACCAAGGCGUCGACGGGUAGCCGGCCUGAGAGGGUGUACGGCCACAUUGGGACUGAGAUACGGCCCAAACUCCUACGGGAGGCAGCAGUGGGGAAUAUUGCACAAUGGGCGCAAGCCUGAUGCAGCGACGCCGCGUGGGGGAUGACGGCCUUCGGGUUGUAAACUCCUUUCGCUAGGGACGAAGCGUUUUUGUGACGGUACCUGGAGAAGAAGCACCGGCUAACUACGUG